rnacentral:rRNA from 1 species
GACGAACGCUGGCGGCGUGCUUAACACAUGCAAGUCGAACGAAGUGGCGGACGGGUGAGUAACGCGUAAUCAACCUGCCCUUCAGAGGGGGACACCAGUUGGAAACGACUGCUAAUACCGCAUACGGAAGGAGGGGAUUGCGUCGGAUUAGCUAGUUGGAGGGGUAACCGCCCACCAAGGCGAGGAUCAGUAGCCGGUCUGAGGUGAUGAACGGCCACAUUGGGACUGAGACACGGCCCAGACUCCUACGGGAGGCAGCAGUGGGGAAUCUUCCGCAAUGGACGAAAGUCUGACGGAGCAACGCCGCGUGAGUGAUGACGGCCUUCGGGUUGUAAAGCGCUGUUAAUCGGGACGCGGUACCGGAAUAGAAAGCCACGGCUAACUACGUGCCAGCAGCCGCGGUAAUUC